AGCACUUUUUUAGAACUCUUCGGAGGGAAGAGAGGGUGACCUAUCGGCGGACGGGUGAGUAACGCGUGGGCAACCUGCCUUACACAGGGGGAUAACAAUUAGAAAUGAUUGCUAAUACCGCAUAAGACCCCAGUACCGCAUGGUACAGAGGUAAAAACUGAGGUGGUGUAAGAUGGGCCCGCGUCUGAUUAGGUAGUUGGUGGGGUAGAAGCCUACCAAGCCGACGAUCAGUAGCCGACCUGAGAGGGCGACCGGCCACAUUGGGACUGAGACACGGCCCAAACUCCUACGGGAGGCAGCAGUGGGGAAUAUUGCACAAUGGGGGUAACCCUGAUGCAGCGACGCCGCGUGAGUGAGGAAGUAUUUCGGUAUGUAAAGCUCUAUCAGCAGGGAAGAAAAUGACGGUACCUGACUAAGAAGCCCCGGCUAACUACGUGCCAGCAGCCGCGGUAAUACGUAGGGGGCAAGCGUUAUCCGGAUUUACUGGGUGUAAAGGGAGCGUAGACGGAUAAGCAAGUCUGAUGUGAAAAUCCGGGGCCCAACCCCGGAAUUGCAUUGGAAACUGCAUAUCUAGAGUGUCGGAGAGGCAAGUGGAAUUCCUGGUGUAGCGGUGAAAUGCGUAGAUAUCAGGAGGAACACCAGUGGCGAAGGCGGCUUGCUGGACGAUGACUGACGUUGAGGCUCGAAAGCGUGGGGAGCAAACAGGAUUAGAUACCCUGGUAG
rnacentral:rRNA from 1 species